GGGGAUGUCAGUAUCGACAACGGGAAGGCAUCAUUCGUGCAUAGUAGUGUUGUGGGAACACUUUAAACAUCACGUUCAUAACUGCAAACUCUGUAGUUACAAAAGCAAAAUCAGUCGCUUCUCCGUAUUUUACGGGAUCGGCCUUUGCUCCCGCUUACGCUUUAGCCUAGGCGGCAUCGUACUAUCUGACGUCCGAUAAGAUAGCUACGGUGUUAUAUUUUCGGAAUCGGUAUGACUGCCCGCUUUGUAGUCAUACUUAAAAAAUAAAGCUCGGGUUUUAUCUGUUUUGUAAGUUUUUUAGGAUAAUCCCUCAAAUACAAAGACUUUCUAUACUAUGUAGAAUCGGGUCAUGUCCCCCAUUGCACGGAGGUUCAAUCCUCCCAUCUCCACAA
rnacentral:tmRNA from 1 species